CCUACGGGUGACUGCAGUGAGGAAUAUUGGUCAAUGGGCGAGAGCCUGAACCAGCCAAGUCGCGUGAGGGAGUACUGCCCUAUGGGUUGUAAACCUCUUUUGUCGGGGAGCAAAAGCCGGACGUGUCCGGCUGUGAGAGUACCCGAAGAAACAGCAUCGGCUAACUCCGUGCCAGCAGCCGCGGUAAUACGGAGGAUGCGAGCGUUAUCCGGAUUUAUUGGGUUUAAAGGGUGCGCAGGCGGAUUUUUAAGUCAGCGGUAAAAUCGUGGGGCUCAACCCCAUCCAGCCGUUGAAACUGGGGAUCUAGAGUGUGCGAGAGGUAUGCGGAAUGCGUGGUGUAGCGGUGAAAUGCAUAGAUAUCACGCAGAACCCCGAUUGCGAAGGCAGCAUACCGGUGCACAACUGACGCUCAGGCACGAAAGCGUGGGUAUCGAACAGGAUUAGAUACCCCUGUAGUC
rnacentral:rRNA from 1 species